rnacentral:rRNA from 1 species
AACGAACGCUGGCGGCAGGCCUAACACAUGCAAAUCGGACGCUGCAGCAAUGCAGAGUGGCAGACGGGUGAGUAACGCGUGGGAACCUUCCCAAUGGUACGGAAUAGCCCAGGGAAACUUGGGGUAAUACCGUAUAAGCCCCAUGGGGGAAAGAUUUAUCGCCAUUGGAUGGGCCCGCGUUGGAUUAGCUAGUUGGUGAGGUAACGGCUCACCAAGGCGACGAUCCGUAGCUGGUUUGAGAGAGUGACCAGCCACACUGGGACUGAGACACGGCCCAGACUCCUACGGGAGGCAGCAGUGGGGAAUCUUGGACAAUGGGCGAAAGCCUGAUCCAGCCAUGCCGCGUGAGUGACGAAGGCCUUAGGGUUGUAAAGCUCUUUUGGCGGGGACGGUAAUGACGGUACCCGCAGAAUAAGUCCCGGCUAACUUCGUGCCAGCCGCCGCCGUAA